rnacentral:lncRNA from 1 species
CCCCAUGGCAUAGGGAGUUUCUGGGCCAGAGAUCAGAUCCAAGCCACAUUUGCUACCUGUGCCUCAGCUGCAGCACUGCCAAAUCCUUUAGCCCAUUAUGCUGGGCUGGGGAUCGAACCUGCAUCCCAGAACUCCAGGGACACCUGGAGUUGAUCCUGUCAUGUCACAGGGAACUGCCAUGAUAACAAAAUUGAAUUUUCCAGUACAUGAACACAGGAUGCCUUUCCAUUUAUUUACGUCGUCUUUAAUUUCUUUCAACAGUGCUUUGUAGAUUUCCUUUUACCAGUCCUGCAAUUCCUUAGUAAAUUUAUUACUAAGUAUUUUAUUUCAUUUGAUCCUUUUAUAAAUGGAAUUAUAUUCUUAAUUUCAUUUUUGGACUUUUCAUCGCAAGUAUAUAGAAAUACAGCAGGUAUUUAUAUAUUGAUCUUGAAUCCUGCAACUAUGCUAAACUCAUUUUUCAGCUGUAAUCGUUUUUGUGGAUUAUUUAGAGCUUCUAUAUAAAAGAUCAUGUCAUCUGUGAACACAUAAAGCUUGACUUCUUCCUUUCAAAUCUGGAUGCAUUUUAUUUCUUAUUCUUUCCUAAUUACCUUGAAUAGAAGUCCUAGCACUGUUCAAUAGAAAUGGCAAGAGAAGACAUCUUUUCCUUUUUCCUGAUUUUAGGGGAACUUUCACAAGUGUAGUGUUAGUUGUAGAUUUUACAAAUACCUCUUGUCAGGUGGAGGAAGUUCCCGUGCAUUCCUGGUUUGUGUGGUAUUUUUACCAUGAAAGAGCAGUGGGUUUUGUUAAAUGCUUUUCUGCGUGCAUUGAGAUAAUCAAGUAGGGAUUUUUCCUUCUUUCUAUUAAUGCAAUAUAUAAUAUUGAUUGAUUAUCAUAGGUAGAACUUCCCUUGCACUUCUGGAAUAAAUCUCAUUUGACCAAGGUAUAUAACCCUUUUAAUAUGUUGCUGGAUUCAGUUUACUAGUUGAGUGUUUUAACAUCUGUGGACAUAAAGAAUAUUUUUCUGUAGUGUUCUUUUCUUGUGAUGUCUUUGUCUAGCUUUGGUAUCAAGAAAUACUGGCCUUUUAGAGUAAAUUAGGAGGUGUUCUCUUCUCUUCUGUUUUUCAGAAGGGUUUGAGAACAAUUGGUGUUAAAUCUUAAAUGUCUGGUUGAAUCUACCGGUAAAGCCAUAUGGUACUGGAUUUUUUUUUUUUAUCAUUAUAAACCUUAUAAAUUUCAAAUGAAACCUCUUCAUUUGUUUAGGGUCGUGAGCCACACAGGAAGUCUACUGGUUUAGGGUUUAUUCAGAUUUUCUGUUUCUUCGUAAGACAUAAGUAGAUUGUGUUUAUAGGAAUUUGUCCUUCCAUUUGGGUUGUAUAAUCUGUUAGCAUAUAAUAGCUCAUAAUAUUCUCAUUUUUAUUUGUUUUAUUUUGUCUUUUUAGGGCCUCACCUGCAGCACAUGCAAGUUCCCAGGCCAGAGGUCGAAUCAGAGCUGUAGCUGCCAGCCACAGCCACAGCCACAGCAACACCGGAUCCGAGCCACAUCUGCGACCUCCACCACAGCUCACAGCAAUGCCGGAUCCUUAACCCACUGAGAGAAGCCAGGGAUCAAACCUGCGUCCUCAUGGAUACUAGUGGGGUUCAUUACCACUGAGCCAUGAUGGGAACUCCAAUAGUCUCUUUUAAUUCUUCUUUGUUUCUGUAAAGUCAGGCGUAAUGUCCUACUUCAAUUCCUGAUAUUAGAAAUAAAAGUUUUCUCUCCUUUUUUCUUCAGCUAGCUAAUAUAUUCAUUUUUCAAUGUGUUCAAAGAACUUUUGGUUUUGUUGAUUUUCUCUUUUAUAGUCUAUUCCCCAUUUCAUUUAUCUCCACCCUAAAUUUUUAUCAUUCCUCCUGCUUCCUUGGGCUUUAGUUGGGUCUUUUUUUUCUACUUAUGAAGGUGGCAAGAUACGUUAUUUUGACAUCUUGAUUCCUUUUUUAAUGUAGGCGUUUAUAGCAAUAAAUUUCAUUCUGAGCCUUGUUUAUUACGUAUCCCACAAGUUUUGGUGUGUUGUGUUUCUUUUUUUUCUUUUUUUUCUUUUUUACAUAUACUGCAUAUACACCUGCAGCGUAUGUAAGUUCCCAGGCUAGGGGUUGAAUCAGAGCUAUAGCUGCCAGCCUACACCACAGACACAGUUAACGCAGGACCUGAGCUGAAUCUUUGCCCUACACCACAGCUCACCGCAAUGCAGGAUCCUUAACCCACUGAGCAAAGCCGGGGAGCAAACCCAUAUCCUCAUGGAUCCCAGUCGGGUUCGUUAACCACUGAGCCACCCACGAAGGGAACCUUGUGUUUCAUUUUUAAUCUCAAAGUAUCUUCUAAUCUGUUAUACCCUUUGUCUCAUGUGGCCAGGGCUAGUAUAUUUGUAUGUUAAAUGCUUCUGAUAAAAUCCUGCUGGGAGGCCAAUCCAGCUGUGAGAAUGUUCCAUGGUGGGCAAAACAAAAGCAAGCCUUGUUGUUAGACUGGACAAAACUUCAAUUCUUUGGGAACAAAGCAUGUAUGGCCCCCUCUGGCAUCUGUAAGCAACACUCAGAACCACUAGUAUCGCAAAGCUGAAAGGGGCCUUAAGGAAUUUUCUUCCUCUUCUGCAGUAUUUGUUCAAACUUGUCUAACAUAUAUCUGACCUUGCUAAUUAUAAAAAUGUUGCCCUCUCUACUGUACUUUAAUUUGGUGAAGUUCUACUGUGGCUCUGGAGAUCAACCAUUCCUCAAAGUUUUGACAGUGCCGUCAAAUAGCAGGUGCUCGAUGAAUAUUGUUAAUUAAGUCUUUUAUCUUUAAGGUAGAGGAACUUAAAAGACCCAGAAAAACUGAUGUGACUUGCAGCAGCUCACAUGGUACUCAGCAGGGAAACCUAGCUGAAACUUCGGAAUGCCCCAUAAAAAUCUUGUGUUGUUUAUUAAAACUACCUCGGAUUUGGAUCCCUCCUUGCUACUCUGGCUUGCCCUUGAGGACACAGACCAUGUAUUGAACUUCCAAAAUAUUACUAUUGUUUUUUUUCCACUGUACAGCAUGGGAACCAAGUUACACAUACAUGUGUACAUACUUUUUCCUCCCAUUGUUGGGUUGCGAUGUAAGUAUCUAGACAUAGUUCUCAAUGCAAAAUAUUAUUUUAGUUUCUUUCUGUGCCCAAUCCCAAUCCCAGUGUUCAAGCAUAGUCCCGAAAGAGGUCUUUAGGAAAUAUACGGACUACUUUAUUCUAAAGACUUGGUUGUUAAAAAAUAUUUCAGGGGGAAAAAAAAAUGCUUUAUGGUCAAUCCCAACUGCCGUACAGCAAAUUGGCCACCUACCAUUUCUCACUUUCCUAUAAAACUCAAGGCUAUGUAGAAGCUUCUAUCUACUGUUUGUCGCUUCAUCCAAAAGAACAUCCCUACUUUUAAUUGCCCAUUUAGAUAGCUUGCAGCUCUUGGAAAUUCAGUAAGAUUAACCUUUGCGGUAAAGAUACUGUGCGGGAACAUAUAUCACUCCCCACCCUCCCCAUGUGGCAAAACACCACCCUGAGAAGGAGGAAAGUACAGAGGUAAGGCCGUGUGAACCUAAGGAACAAAGUCAACCACGCAGAUCUGCUAGAUUGGAGAACCAAGAGGAAUAUUGUCCAUUUCCUUUAUUGUGAACAGCGCCUUUCAGCAGGUCAUCAUUCUCAAAUGUUAAUUCUUACUCGGUGCCCUCAUGCCUUGCCCUCAUCUCCUGUAGAAGCAAAUCUCUCUGACAGUGGCCAGUAGUUCAGUUACCAGUAAGCAAGGGGAAUAAAACCAACAAACAUAACUCCCCAGCCCUUCGCCAGGGGAACAACGAAUAACUUCAAAAGAUAUGUAAUUAACAGGCUGCCCAGCAAGUGUUGUGAGCUCCCCAUGCAGGGAUUGAGGUCCAAAUGUGCAUCGGUGUGUCCCCAACAGAUGAAAGAGAGACCCAAGAUGAAACCACGAAGGCUCCCUGAAAUUCAGCAAGAGACUUAGUGUGCAGGAAUCACAUUAAUCUCUUCAGGUCAAACACUGACACUUCUCUGCCCUUGGAAGUCGUCUUGGGUCCAGCCAUCAACUGGAGGCACUUGUUUCAAAAGGAACGUCUUCAUGCAGAAGGUGGGGAGACAGAAUAGAAAGAAAAGACAAACAUUCCUAUGGUCAGCAUUCCAUGUUUUGUUUUGCAGGACAUAAAAUUGGCUUCUUGCUUCUGAGAAUUGUUUUUUUAGCCAUAAAGCUUUCAAAAAUCUGGUGUACCUAAUUCAAAGCCUUUAAAAUUUAUGUUGUAAAAUUUAUUAUGGUGCCCUUAUAAAUCAGCACUUGGUAGUAACAAAUUAUCAGAACGAGCUGUAUUUUAGAAAGACAAAUCAGAAUUUAAUAGUGAAGAUAGAGGUGUUUUCAAAUCAGACAGCCAAAGAACUAACUAAUGGGAACAUUUGUAAACCUGACAGUGAUUUACAGUGGGGCUCUUAGUUAAAGUGUGUAAAUCCCACAGAAGUUUUUGCAUCUAACAGCUGGGACUGUUGGUCCAUUGUUUAUAAAUCAAGAAGUUAAUGUAGAGUCAGGGAUCUGUAAAUACAGGCACUAAAUUAGACAUCUGUAGCAUCUGAUUUAUAAAUAAGUAACCUCAAGGGUUACAUACAUGGAGUUCCUGUCAUGGCUCAGUGGAUUAAGAACCCAACGAGUAUCCAUGAGAGUGCAGAAUCGAUUCCUGGCCUUGCUCAGUGGGUUAAGGAUCCGGUGUUGCUGCAAGCUGAGGCGUAUUUUGCAGAUGCAGCUUAGAUCUGGCAUUGCUGUGGUUAUGAUGUAGGCUUGCAGCUGCAGCUCUAAUUCGACCCCUAGCCCAGGAACUUCCAUAUACCCCAGGUGUG